AGCCUUGUGCUGUGGCAGUAUCAUAGCCAAUGAGGUUAAUCUGAGGCGCGAUUAUUGCUAAUAUGUACUUCAUACAGAUAUUGCCUGGUCAAAAAAUUAUUGAUAUAGAAAUACACUUUAUUAAAAA
rfam:Alligator mississippiensis ScZkoYb_82, whole genome shotgun sequence.